rnacentral:rRNA from 1 species
ACGUCUCAGUUUGGAUUGCAGGCUGCAACCCGCCUGCAUGAAGCCGGAAUUGCUAGUAAUCGCGGAUCAGCAUGCCGCGGUGAAUACGUUCCCGGGCCUUGUACACACCGCCCGUCACACCAUGGGAGUCGGGGGCGCCUGAAGUCCGGGACCGCGAGGACCGGCCUAGGGCGAAACUGGUAACUGGGGCUAAGUCGUAACAAGGUAUC